GGUGUGUGUGUGAGACUGUGUGCACGCAGGAGAAACGCUGGAUGCAGUGCUGGGAGUUUGUUCUGCUUAUACUGCCAGUAAUAUUGGAGAGAGGAGUGGAGUUACAGUUAUUUAAGGAGACCGAGGCCAGUGGAAGAGCGUGUAGAGGCAUUUGCAGACAUAAUUACUGAGCAAACUACAAGGAGGUAAUGUGUACAUUGGUGCUUUUUGUAAACUGGUGGGGCUAUUAGCAUUAGCCUAACAUGGCUAUUGAGCUGAUUAGGCUAAUGGGGAUUUGGGGUUAUGUGUAUUAGUAUUAAUAUAAAUGUU